GUUUAUCCGGUAAUUUAUUGGGGCGUAAAGCGGGGCGCAGGGUGGUUUUCUUAAGUUCUGAUGUGAAAGCCCUCGGGCUCAACCGGGGGAGGGUUCAUUGGAAACUGGGAGACUUGAGUGCAGAAGAGGAAAAGUGGAAUUCCCAUGGGUAGCGGUGAAAUGCGUAGAGAUAUGGAGGAACACCAGUGGGGAAGGGGACUUUUUUGGUUCUGUAACUGACACUGAGGCGCGAAAGCGUGGGGAGCAAACAGGAUUAGAUACCCUGGUAGUCCCACGCCGUAAACGAUGAGUGCUAAGUGUUGGAGGGUUUCCGCCCUUUAGUGCUGAAGUUAACGCAUUAAGCACUCGGCUUGGGGAGUACGGCGGCAAGGCGGAAACUCAAAGGAAUGGACGGGGGCCGGCACAAGCGGUGGAGCAUGUGGUUUAAUUGGAAGCAACGGGAAGACCCUUACCAGGUCUUGACAUCUUUUGACAACCCUGGAGAUAGGGCUUUCCCUUCGGGAGCAAAGUGACAGGUGGUGCAUGGUGGUCGUCAGUUGGUGUCGUGAGAUGUUGGGUUAAGUCCCGAAAGGAGCGCAACCCUUAUUCUUAGUUGCCAUCAUUAAGUUGGGCAUUCUAAGGGGACUGCCGGUGACAACCGGGAGGAAGGGGGGGAGGACGUCAAAUCAUCAUGCCCCUUAUGCCCUGGGCUACACACGUGUUACAAGGGACGGUACAAGGAGUGGCAAGCCCGGGAGGGGAAGUUAAUCUAAUAAACCCGUUUUAAGUUGGGAUGGUAGGCUGCAAUUCCCCUACAGGAAGCCGGAUUCGUUAGUAUUCGGGGAUCAGCAUCCCGCGGGGAAUACGUUCCCGGCCUUUGUACACCCCGCCGGUUCACCAACCCAGGGAGGAAGUUUGUAACCCACCCGGAAAAGGUUCCGGGUUGGGGUAAACCCCUUUU
rnacentral:rRNA from 1 species